ensembl:lncRNA
CCCAAACAUAUUCUGAGGCAUCACAUCCAAAGAUCUUAUAUUUAAAUUCUUUAUGAGAGAGGGAGGAAGAAAGGCAGGAGGAAGAUAUUAACGAUACAGAGAAGAAAUUUUUAAUCAGAGGAAGCUUGAUUUGAAUUGGGAUAGUAAAGGUUACAACCAAGUAGCAGGGUCUGCAGGAAGCACUGUGUGGCAUCUCAGAGCAUCAAGGUAAAAGGUCACUGAAGCUCUAAUCUUGAACUCUCUAAAGCAUUACUCAGAGCUUCUGUAGCUCCUCCUGGAAGAGCAAUGGAAACAGAAACGACCAACAGGCCUUGAGAAUGACCAGGAUAACGAACGGAGCGGCGUUUUAGCGCUGCGCUGCAGCAGCUUUAACUUUGCUCUCCAUAAAGUCAGUAGCAACAAGGAUCUCCAUAUCAGCAGGGGAACUGCGCCCGAAUAAUUACACAAGUUGCUGUGCACUCCGCCAUGAGUAAGAGUUUAUGCUGAAGCUGUGAGUUUUCCCACGAAAGCAGAGAAGAGACACGUGUAGCGGGUGGAAGCACACGCUCCUACCACACUCUGGGGAAGGUUCCUGCAUUCCAUGGACAGUGCUGCCUUUGGGGAGGGCUCCCGGUGUGCAGCUCUGCCAUCCCCGCCGGUGUGGAAAAAGUGGAGAACUGUGACCUAUUGUACCACCUAUAAAUGAAAAAUACAGAGCAUCAUGAUUGGAAUUCCCAGGGGGUAUUUUUGUGGAACUUCAGAGCGAACGUGGCUGACACUUGUUCUUUGUUGCCCUUGGGCUACCGGUUUGAUCACUGACUGAAUGGAUUUAUCCAUGUCAGCAGAAGGAAUUUCUCACUCUUGUCGUGCUGAACCCGACACGGAGCAGCGCCAUGGAGCGGGGCGGGCAGCCGGACAGCGCGGAGCAUCGCGAGCAGUUGGUAACGUUUGGCAGCUUAACAGAGAAAAAAAUGACUGCUAGGGAAAUCUCAACCGCCGCUAAUUAGCAGCAAUGAACUGUGGCUGUAGAUGUCUACUUUGUUCCAAAGCCCCUUUUGUCCCUGGCCAUGGGGCUGUCCUGGAGCACCAUGGAUGUCCCCACACUGGCAGCAGGGCCUGAGCAGCCAUGGGAGGAUGCGCUGCUGGACAGACAUGGGCAGCACCAGCGGUGCAAGUGCAAAGGAUGAAACUGCCCUGGAGAGAGAAUGGGCUCAGCACAUGACAACGCAGACGUGGCUGUGCUCAGGAUUACCAUGCCUGGACGUGGGAGCAAGAAACCUGAACUUGCUGUGGGUUGAAAAAGUCUGAAAUUACAUUCUUGGUGAUGUAAGAGAUCUUCCGAUCCCUGGGAUUUUUCACUGAUGUCAUUACGGACACAAGUACCAUCUGUUUCCUACAUGUAGGUACGUGAGAUUCCUGCACCUUGUAAACCGGAGCUGGGUGACCAUUGGCUCUUGGAAUCUCAAGAUGUACACCCAAAAUCUUUCGUCUUUUCUUAACUUUUUCUUCCCAGUAAGAAGCAGCUGCCUCUACAAAGACUGAGGUUUCAGGGAUGCUCAAAGAUGACGCCUCAUGGGAGCGGAGACGAUGCUGUCGCCCUGCAACUCCCUCUAGGACCCCAUGGUAGUAAUUAAUAAGAAGCCAAGUUCUCAACUAGCUGUGACAAAUUGGAAAGCUGUGAAUUUGGAGAUAAGAGCGGAGGGUCACAGUUUAUUUGUAACUGGGUUAUCUAAUCGUAAUAAGC